GUCGGAUGUGCCGCAGGUGCAUGGCAGACGGGUGAGUAACGCGUGGGGAACCUACCUUUUUGUGGGGGAUAACGUUCCGAAAGGAAUGGUAAUACCGCAUGAGACCAUCGACUGGAAUGUUGGUGGUGAAAGCCGGGGAUCGAAAGACCUGGCGCAAGAAGAGGGUCCUGCGUCUGAUUAGCUAGUUGGCGGGGUAACGGCCCACCAAGGCAACGAUCAGUAGCCGGCCUGAGAGGGUGAUCGGCCACACUGGAACUGAGACACGGUCCAGACUCCUACGGGAGGCAGCAGUGGGGAAUUUUGCGCAAUGGGCGAAAGCCUGACGCAGCAACGCCGCGUGGGUGAUGAAGGUCUUCGGAUCGUAAAACCCUGUCGUCGGGGACGAAGGUGGCUUAGUUAACAGCUGAGUUGCUUGACGGUACCCGGAGAGGAAGCCCCGGCUAACUCUGUGCCAGCAGCCGCGGUAAUACAGAGGGGGCAAGCGUUAUUCGGAAUUAUUGGGCGUAAAGGGCGCGUAGGCGGUUUUUUAAGUCAGAUGUGUAAUCCCCGAGCUCAACUUGGGAACUGCAUCUGAGACUGGAAGGCUAGAGUACUGGAGAGGGUGGUAGAAUUCCACGUGUAGCGGUGAAAUGCGUAGAGAUGUGGGGGAAUACCAGUGGCGAAGGCGGCCACCUGGACAGUAACUGACGCUGAGGCGCGAAAGUGUGGGUAGCAAACAGGAUUAGAUACCCUG
rnacentral:rRNA from 1 species